AGAUUGAUUGCCCACCGACAGUGACAAAUAUCAUCAUCAUCAUCAUCGUCGUCGUCCUCGUCAAACCUUGCUCCCCCACCACAUGAAUGUUCUGUCCACACACCCACACGGGUCUGUGUGUGUUUGUUAUAUGUAUCACUGGGAAGCUGGCAUGUGGCUGAGUGGGGGACACACCAAAGAAAGACUACUCAUCCCUGCUCCCUCCUUGAAUAAUUGAUUGACACUACGCUACACAAUCCUCACCUCACUCCUCCCCACCCCCUAAUCACCAAUCCCUAUUAUUAUUAUUUAUUACAUUACUGCUGCCUGCAAAUAUUUUUCAGUAUUGCCCAUAAAGCCCAAGACCCCAUCAUGUUUUCUCUAUCACCUUUUCUUUUGUCAUCUCUCCCUCACAUCACUGUUGACGCACAGUGUUUCCCCCACCUAAAUACACCAUUUUCCCAAAUGCAGACACCUUAAAAACCCACCUAAUUCAAGAAAACAGAUCAAGAAACUUUUGCUAGUCUUUCUCUCUCUCCUCACCAAGAACUAGACUGCUCUCUUUUCCGUUCAUGCUUUGUUCUUCAAGAUGCCAAGGCCAGGCCCAAGACCUUAUGAGUGUGUUAGAAGAGCUUGGCACAGCGAUAGACACCACCCCGUUAGGGGUUCUCUUAUUCAAGAAAUUUUCAGGAUUGUCAACGAGGUUCAUUGUUCUGCUACUAGAAAGAACAGAGAAUGGCAGGAGAAGCUCCCCAUUGUUGUCUUAAGAGCUGAAGAAAUUAUGUAUUCUAAAGCCAACUCUGAGGCUGAGUAUUCGGACCUUAAAACUCUUUGGGACAGAGUAAAUGAUGCGAUUAACACGAUAAUUCGAAGAGAUGAGAGUAGUGAAACUGGGGAACUUCUACAACCUUGUAUUGAAGCUGCACUGCAUUUGGGAUGCACUCCCAGAAGAUCAUCAAGAAGCCAGCGCAAUGACUCUCCGAGAUGUUACCUUAGGCCUGAAACUUUAGACUCAACCUCUUUGCCAGACAGCAAUUCUAAUGCUCAACUUUAUGGAGACAAUACAACCAGUGGUCUUCUCAUGCUCCAUUACCCACAAUAUUCAAGACCCGGUACCAUGAAUCCCUUGAAUUCUUGCCUAAAGGCUGAAAAUCUUUGUAUUCAGAGCAGAAAUUCUGAUUAUAUGAAGAAGCCUCCUAUCUUACCUAAGAAUUUUGCUCCAAGUGAUAACCAUCACGUAUCGGUACAAACUUAUUCCUCAUCAAAUGCAUGGUUUGCCUAUCCGUUGUACUAUGACAAUCGAAUUGGACCUGAUGACCCAAAGUUUUGUUCAUUAAAACCUUCAAACUCAUAUUCUCACUUCAUAGACAGCAAGAAACUUGGUCACCAGCAAAGUCAUUCCUCCUUUAAGCUCGAUGCUUCGGACCUUAAUUCUCCAUCCAAUCAUGAACAUACUUCAAACAGAGGACAGGCAAUUGAGUGUGAUUUAACAUUGCGCCUGGGCUCUGUAGUAGUUCCAUGUGCUAGUAUUGACAAUAGUUGGCCCCUACAAGUAGAAAAUGGGAAAUCAAGCACUCUAGAGGGCAGAAAAUUCAGGAACUGUCUCAACACAUGAACAAAAUUUCUCCUUCGUUCAGGCCAGUUUUGAUUAUAUGUUGGAUUUCUUCAAGAACUGUAGUUUUGAGAAUCAAAAGCAGAUAGUAGAGGCAACAGGACGUAAAUGAAAAGCCUUUGUACGCCAUCAUUGAGAACGAACAACUCUUCAUCGGCAGUCUUGGCUUGGUUCUUUGGAGGGAAAUGCAAUGGACUUCGACAUACUUACAGAGACACAUCCAGUUUCCAGAGUUUUGAAACUAAGAAUCUGCUUUUAUGAGGCCGUUGCUGUGCAAUGUUGAUGGUAAUUAGGGAAACUUUCUAAGAGGUGAAGGACGCAGCAUAUAUUGCCCAAAGAGUUCAAACUUGUCCUGCUGCUUUUGCCACUCAAAGCUGAUUCUAUUGCACGACUCUUUUUGAGAAGAAGAAAGUGGGUUAGUACAACUCUCCAUGUAGCAUUUCAGGAAAAAGGCCGUGUCUUGACAAAGAGAAUGGGUAUAGAAAGAUAAUAAUUUGCCAUGAUGUUAAGUUAUUCACCUUGCCCAAUGUCUUGGCAUCAUUAGUCAUCAGAAUAGCAUGUCUCUCUUUGCUCGAGUUUGUAGGUCCCUACAUGCCUUGAGCAUCUUUGUUUUUCAGCUAGUGACAACUCCAUCUUUAUUGAUGGCGAUUUGAAGAAAUCAUCAAGUUAAAGAUAAGAGGGGCCAUCUCUAUACUGCACCGAGAUUUGACCUUUUAUUUACAGUGGGACUUUAGAAAGGAGUGGCUCAAAGCACCCGCUUCAUGCGCACAUGGACUUCUGAUUGGCCAAUGGCCCCAACACUAUUGUAACUUAUUACCACCGAAUAACAGAACCUCAGGAAAAAGAUGAGGUGGUAGUUACAGAAGAAAGGGGAGACGAUGUUGAGGAUGGAGGAAGAGAAGAUGAGCAGCUGUAGUUGAACUCUAUCUGUAGCCGGUGAUGGAGGGAGAAGUAAGAACCAGCCUUCUUUUUC